UACAGAGGGGGCAAGCGUUGUUCGGAAUUACUGGGCGUAAAGGGCGCGUAGGCGGCCUGUUAAGUCGAACGUGAAAUCCCCGGGCUCAACCCGGGAACUGCGUCUGAUACUGGCAGGCUUGAAUCCGGGAGAGGGAUGCGGAAUUCCAGGUGUAGCGGUGAAAUGCGUAGAUAUCUGGAGGAACACCUGCGGUGUAGACGGCUUUCUGGACCAUUGCUGACGCUGAGACACGAAAGCGUGGGUAGCAAACAGG
rnacentral:rRNA from 1 species